UACGUAGGGAGCAAGCGUUGUCCGGAAUCAUUGGGCGUAAAGAGCGCGUAGGCGGCCCUGUAAGUCCGUUCUGAAAGUCGGAGGCUCAACCUCCGAAAGCGGAUGGAUACUGCAGGGCUAGAGUCCGGAAGAGGCGAGUGGAAUUCCUGGUGUAGCGGUGGAAUGCGCAGAUAUCAGGAAGAACACCAACGGCGAAGGCAGCUCGCUGGGACGGAACUGACGCUAAGGCGCGAAAGCGUGGGGAGCGAACAGG
rnacentral:rRNA from 1 species